CUCCAGCGUCCUGAGCGCUCGGCCCGGCCGUUCCGUCGCGCUCCUGGUGGCGGUGGCGGUGGCGCGCGCUGGUGCUGUCGGGGGCGACCUGGCGCAGCCCAUGCAGGGGCUCUUGAGGGUCCGCGAGGCCGGGAGGUCCGUGGACACCGGGACCAGUGGGGAGGGGCCGGAGGGCUGGACGGCGGGGACGGGCCCGUGAGGAGACGGGUGGGACGGGGGGCUGUACUGUGUGGGGUAGGACGCGGGGGGUCGGUAGACUGGGCCGGCGCCGGGUGCACGCGCCCCCUGACCUGAGGACGGGGUGGGAGCCGCGCAUUAGAGCCUGGGUUUUUGGUCUGGGGUGCCGUCGAGCUCGUACCUGCGGCCUCCUGGAUCUCCCCAGCACUGGAGCCCUGGGGAGGGGGCACCCGGGCUCGGGCGCCGGCCUUCAAGGAGCGCUGGAGGGACUGUGCUACUGGGGCGCGGGGCCUCGUGGGGCGAUCGGGAGACCCGCGGGGAUCCGGAGCUGCCGCCCCUGCGCUGCCCUCCCCGGCCCCCUCUGUGAGGGUUUAUUACAGGUCUUGUUUCGGGAGCCAGGUGCGUUCCUGCCGCCACCGCACACCACAGCCUCCAGGCGGCUCCAGAGGGCACCAGCACUGGCCCAGUGGCCUGGGGUGCGGCGCUGGCAAGCCUGGCCUUCUGAGGGGACGCCACGCUGACUCUAGUGCAGGCAGCCCCCAAAACGGUAUAACUGGACGAAUUCCUGGAAGGAUGCCAGUUACCAGAAAAGAACAUAUGAAUGCUCGUUAUCUGUUCAAUUGAAUUUGAGAUCGAUUUGUAAUCAAAUGUCCUCACACAGAAAAUUCCAGGUCCAGAAGACCAAGCUGGUGGAUCGUACUUAGAAAUGCAGUAAUAGGAAUGCGGCCACUCAGACAGUGGAUGAGGAAGGGCCGCUUAUUCCUGCCUGGUGUAUGAGGCCAGCAUUGCCCUGAUAGCAAAGUCAGCCAUGACCAGACAAUAGAACCAGAGACCAAUGUCUUUCAUGCAUCUAGACACAGAGAGCAUGUCAGAAAAUUAGCAAAUGGAAUCUAUCUGCCUAUUGCCUACAAAAAAGCCAAACUUUGAAAAACACUUGAAGAGAUUCAUUCUGAGCCAAAUGGGAGGAGCGUGACCCAUGACACAGCCUCGGGAGGUCCUGAGAACUUGCACCCAAGGUGGCUCGGUUGCUGGGUUUUGUACAUUUCGGGAGACAUAAGGCAUCAGUCAGUGCAUGUGAGGUGUGCAUUGGUUUGGCCCAGAAACAGGGCAACUCCAGGCGGAAAGGCCUCCAGGUCACAGGUAGAUUCAAAGGUUUUUCUGAUUGGCAAUUGGUUGAAAGAAUUACUGUCUGAACGCCUGGAAUCCAUAGAGAGGAGUGUCUGGGUUAAGAUAAGGGGCUGUGGAGACCAGGGUUCUUAAUAUGUAGAUGAAGUUUAUAGGUGUUCACCUUAGAGGCAAUACGUGGCAAAUGUUUCCUAUUCAGACGGCCAACGUGGUGAAACCCAGUCUACUAACAAUACAAAAGCAAAACAAAACAACACUAGACUCUCAGUCGGUCUCUUCAGAAUCAGAAAAAGCUGGAAAAAGAAGGGGAGUCUCUACAGAAUGUGAAUUUCUCCACGGAAGACAGCUUUUCGGAGCUAUUUCAAAAUUUGUCGAAGAGAUGUAUUUUGGGUAAAAUACACUGCUGCUUUCAGGGCCUGCUGUCACGUGGUGCUGUACCAGAGUCAGAUUGGAACUUCGUGUCUUUUUACUACAGAGUCUGCUGUGUCAGUCUUAUGACCUGUUUUAAUGUCAGUGCUGGUCAGCUGCACCUGAACUCCAAAGAGAGGUGAGUAUAAUGCACGUCCAACCCUCUUGGUGGAGAGGAGGGGUCCAUUCAGUUGGUUGAGGAGGGUUAGAAUUCUACUUUUAGUUUACACUAUAUGAAGCAAAAAUUAAAAUUUACUAGACCCCUAAAAAGACUCUUUUAAAGCUGCAGGAAGAGGAUAAACAUGCAGGUCAGAGUGGAGUCCCAAGCACCCAGAAAUGCCAGAUGAUGGACAAAGGCUUGGGAAAAGAAAAAAAAAAAAAAAAAAAAAAAAAAAAAAAAAAAAAAAGACCUCAGCCAGACACAAAAGCAUGAGCUUGAAAAGAAAAAAUAAGAGAUGUUGAACUUCACCAAAAAGUAAGCCUUUCUGGUCUUCGAAAGACACUUAAAGGGCAAGCCAUCAACGGGGAAGAUAUUCAGAAUAAUGGAUCUGACAGAGGGCUUGUAUCUGCAAUAUAUAAAGAUCUUUGAAAAUCCAGGAAUCUGACACGAAGGUGGUAGCCAGCCUGACACACAAAGGAAGGAAACCAAAUGGCCGAUAGGAAGGGAAGUGAACGUGAAAAUCUCAGUGGGAUGUCCUUGUCACCACUGGACUAGUACAAUCAAAAACAUGGACGCCAAGUGUUGGUGGGUGAGUGGAGUGGCCGAAACCCUCAGACACAGUGGAUGGGAGCUGCACCCUUUGGAAAUCAUUUCACAGUUUGUGCUUCAUCCUGGCCGAACCCAUAGAUGGAGUCAUUCCAAAAGCAGUGACGAGAAUUUCCACCAGAGAGUACCUCAAACCCCCGGAGUUGGGCUGGUUGGGAUUCCAGAGAAAGAGGCCCUGUCACCAGGGUGAUCUGUCCAGAGCACUUACUAGGAUCCUGCAUAAGGAGAGCCUGCAGUGUAUCCGCAGGACAGAUAGGACAGAUGGCUGACACAGCCAUUCUCUCCUGCCUUUACCUGGGAGAAACAGCACCACCUGGCUGAACAUACCUUCUUAUAUACCCAUGAGUCCUGGACUAAUGCAGCCUGGGGGGACCCUGACACUCCCAUGGGCAAGCCAAGGGGUUUGCCUGGGGCCUGUGGCCAGAGAUCCUUGAGAUGGGUUUCCCUGUGCAGCCCUCCCCCAGGGUACCUGCAGCUGCUGCAGCCACGCCUCUAUGCAGCCCUCUGCUGCAGCUCUGCAGCCACACCCAGGCCACGCCUCUAUGCAGCACUCCCCACAAAGGACCCACAGCUGCUGCAGCCACGCCUCUAUGCCACCCUCUGCUGCAGCGCUGCAGCCAUGCCCAGGCCACCCCUCUAUGCAGCACUCCCCACAGGGGACCCGCAGCUGCUGCAGCCAUGCCUCUAUUUAGCCCUCUGCUGCAGUGCUGCAGCCACGCCCAGGCCGCUGCCUCCGAAGACGGGUGGUGCUGCUUUUGUGAACAGACACUAAUUUCAAAUGUCAAUGCUUAGGAGGUGAGCGCCCAAGCAGAAGCCGACCCUCUUUAUGAAGGGGGCCACAGAACACCCGAACCAGAAAUCAGCGGAACAGCCAAGGCCACAGGGGAACUGAGUGGGCCACACCCCUGCCUCUGGGCUGCUCAGGACAGGCCAGCUCUGACCCCACUGGCUCUAUCGCAAGGACUCAUGGUGAAGCUCUGCUGGAUUCAGUGGCCUUAGCUGGAGCCCACAGACCCAGGUCCUGUGGGCAGUUUGUGCUCACGACCUAGAGGCCAGAGCCCACACUCUGUCUCCAGCAGGCCCAGCUCACUUCUCCACGGCAAAGGCUUGGCCUUGCUCCAGGUCGGGGGACUCUUCCCCCACCCAGUGUUUCUUCCCGGGUGACAGUGGUGGGAGAGCAGGCAAGCCAUGUGCUGGGUGCCAUAGUGGGGAGACUCCAGGCUGGCACCCCUCCGCCUCUUUGUGAGCUCUGGCCUUUCUCCUCCCUGCCUGGGCAGCUUCCUUCAGGUUGGGGAGGAUUUUGUUGACCCCUGGAUUAAAGUCCUAAUCAGGAAUGACCCGGAAGAGGUUUUACUAGUCUUUCCUCAAGAAAGUCUGUGUCUGAGUCUCAGGAAGUGGCCCCGUUCCCUGCACAGCACAGUCUCUUCUGUGACCAACCGUUCACGCAGCAAAGGAGGGGCUCUCGGGCCCACAGGCCAUUGCCCCGAGGCUGCCACGAGAGGGCAGGAGAGCCCUUCCCGGGAGCUCCAUGCCAGGGGGCAGGAAAAACGCAGCUCCGCCAAGCUCUGCAUCGACGUGUCCAGCAGGGAGAGGCUCCAGCACAUGAGAGAAGAGCAGACUGGGCGGCCCCUGCCGAAGCCUCUCCCGUCCCCUGCGACCCCCGAGAGCAGGCCCUGGGCCCCUGCGGCCCCUGCCAAAGCCUCUCCCGUCGCCUGUGACCCCCAAGAGCAGUCCCUGGGCCCCUGAGGCCCCUGCCGAACCCUCUUCCGUCCCCUGGGACCCCCGAGAACAGGCCCUGGGCCCCUGUGGCCCCUGCUGAAGCUUCUUCUGUCCCCUGCGACCCUCGCGAACAGGCCCUGGGCCUCUGCAGCCCCUGCUGGAGCCCCUCCCCAACUACUGACCUGCUCCCAGCUUGCUUAGCUCCCUGCAAAACCUCACCUGAGGGGAAGGAGGCUGUUUGGGCUCAGAUGCAGCAGGUGUAGCUUGUGGUCCUGGGGCCACACUUGUGAGAGCCCAUCAUUCCCCGCCUGCUGGGCCCUGACUAUCAUCUGUCCCCACAGAACUCAGCAGGGUCAGCUCUAGGCACUCCAGGCCCCCAGCUCCAUGGGUGAGCCCUGGGCCCGAGAUGGAUGUGGGCCACAGGCCCCUAGCCAGAACACCCACAGCGGGUGGACGUGUGCACCAGAUGUGGCUCCCCUCCCAAGAGACACGCAGAUGGGGAGGGGCCCAGCAGAUCUCAGCACGGCUGGAGCUUCCACCCAUCAUCAACUCCCAGCCUCCCGGCCCGACAGGUGGCCCUGGGAGCCCGGUUAGCAGUGGAUAGCAGAGAAAGGUGGUUGGGGAUGUCACCACUGCCCCCGAGACUCCCCUGCCGUGGAGAUGAGGGAGCUGUCCCUUGGCAAAGGGAGGCUGGCCAGUGGGAUUGGACAGGGAAUGGACCCAGUGGCCGAGGGCCGCUGAGCUCAGGACCCAAGGAGGGCUCUCCUAGGAGCAGGGACGAGAGCAAACGUCAGGGGCCCCGUGCAGGCCUGUUUGUCCGUUUGCAAAGUGAAUGAGCAGGUUCACAUGUCGGGAGUUUCUGGACUCAUUGCACAUCACAGUUCCCCAGUAACCAGAUCCUGGCCUUUGUGCCUGGAAGUGCACAGGGAGGUGACAGCCUUGUGAGUCAUUGGCAAGGCAAGGAGUCUGGUUUUCCAGGGCCAGAGGCCACACUCAGAGGAUUUCCUAACAGGAGCUUGGGGCCCUCGAGUCAACACUUUCCCACGGACAGCCUGGCCAGCUCCGUGGAUGGAGGAGGCGCCCGAGGGUCCCAGGCCACCAAGUGACCAAGCAGCAAAGGCGCCCGGGGUUUCCUAGGGGUGUGCCAAUCCCAAGGCAGCCACCUAUGGUCACUAUACAGGGCACCAGUGCCCCAGGAGGCCUGCAACACAGGAGGGCCUGCCUCCUGGGAGAGACUGGCCAGUGCCUGCAGGGACCUGGGGGGCCACAGUGAGGGUUCUGCUGGACCAUCUGCCCUGAAGCAGAACCCACGCCUUCUGCCUCGGGGAGCACGUGGACGCCUGCCUCCUGUCCGGGCCUGGACACAUCCCAGCGGCUACAUGUGGGGGAGGUACAGCAUGGGCUCAGGGCCAGGGCCCACUGCGGGGAUGCCAGACCUGGGGGCGACUAUGCCUGCUCAGAAUUCCCCCCACACCUGGGCUUCUCCAUUCUGACCUUCCCUGGGGAGGGGAGGGCCUGUCCUUCCUCAGCAUUGCGUGGGAGGCGGGAGGCAAGGCCUGUGGUGUGAGGUUCCCCCAGCAUGGGGCUCCAGGGGAGAAAGCCCCAUGUCUAAGGGAAUGAAAACAGAGAUUGCGCCACCCGCACACACUCAGUGGCUCAGAAAAUCAUUUACAAAUGUUCUGAGCCCCUGAGUUUGGCUCUAAAAGGGAUGUGACCGGCUCGUGACAGCUCCACUGCCUGUGCCUUGAGAGGGGAGCGUUCAGCUUUGGGGGCAGCUUUCCCUCCAAGAGGAGCUUCACAAACAUCCGCUCCCAUGGGGUCGCCUCUCCAUGGCCUGGGGCUGCUGUUGGAGGCAGGGUGUCCAGCUUCCGCCAGGCGGGAAACGUGGGGAGUGAGCGGGGGUCAUGGCUGGGUCCCACUGGGGACUGUGAGAAUCUGUCCCACAGGACUUUCUGGGAUUGAAAAGCUGGCAGAGGUGAAAAGUGCGUCAUGCGCUUUGCUGGUCCCAGCUGCUUAUUUAUGUUUGGAGGGCUGGCUCCAAGGACUCCCCUUCUCCCUCUCCAGUGAUGACGUCAGUGGAAAAGCAGAGGGGGCCAGGGGUGCUGGGCUUUCCUCCCUGGGAUGAAGCACAUCUGGAGGUUUUGCUGAUUCCUGAGCAGGCCCUGACCACCAGGUUCAGGUGGCAAAUCCACGAGUGCUGAGCCUGGCCCUGAGCCUCAGCAUAAACGUCGCAAACCCCUAGCCCCGGCGGUGUCUGCUUCAUCCCUCCAGAGCGAAGGCAUCAAGUUCAAGUGUGAGGUUUAGAGAUUCUAAAAGGAGAAGGGCCAGAGGUCCUGAAAACAACCUUCCUCACCUCGUUCAUUCAUUCCAGGAAUUUGUGAGGGCCUCCGUGUCCUGUGCUUGGUGGGGCCUGGGACGCAGAUGUGAAGGGUGCUGCUCUCAGGAGCAGACGGAGGUGUAGACAAAUCACUACACACCCACCUCGGGCACACAGAGGGCCCUUCGGGGAGCUGUGGGUGCAGGGAGGGGACCCUCUGCGUCACGCUGACGGUGUCGGCAGAGUCUCCAGCGUCUGCAGGAGCGGAACCUGGGGUUCCUCUGUCAAUUGUGUAAACAAAUCUUUUGCCCAAUAGUCUUUUCCUGUUGGGACACCUUGGUAGUUUGAAAGUGGUUUCUUGCAUCCCUUGCUUGUCUCUUAGCUUUGUAGAUGGUGUUCUAUUUUAAAUUUUGAAUAUAUUUAAUGUGAGAAAUAGUUACAAGGUGAGCACCAUGAGUCCCUGUGUACCUGUCACUCAGCCCAACCACCAGGGGCACUGGGGGACUGGUUACACCCCCCUUUCUUAGGACUCCUGAGUCUCGGGUGUUACUUAAAGGGUGUUUCUUACAGCAAGACAGUUGAAACAAACUUUGAUGUCUCUUCCGUCUUUCUACGGCUGUGGCUUCUAACAUCCUGAUAAUGUUCUCAUCAGCCGGGGCUGAGAACAAGAGUGUAGACUGUGGGGCUGAAACAACAGAAACGUACUUCCGCAGUUCUGGAGUGAGGAGUCUUGGCUCACCGUGCCACACACUCAGGUUCCUGGUGAGGGUCGGAUUCCUGGCUAACUGAACCGCCUCCCCAAGAACCCUCCGCUAAUACUGUGUCGCUGGGGUUUAGGCUUCGGCACAGGAAUGCUGGGGACACGUCACUAGUCACUCCAUCGCACAUGUAACUCAGGCCAUUAACGGUGACAGCUUUACAGCAGGCUCCCUCCCCAGGCCUCUCAAAAGCAUUCCUCCGCAGGUCUGCACGGCUCUUCUCCCACGUCAAGUUACAAGCAGUGUCAAGGCCCACCGCAGUCCUGUGGGAGUUUUAAGGGACGCACAUAGUUCAUGGGACGGUUUGGAAAAUUGUCAUUUAUGUGACUUAGAGUCCUACUACUUAAAAAUGGAUUCUAGCUCUCAACUAAUUUGGAACUUUGGCAAAGUGUUUUAGAUUCCUUUGAUGGCAGAGGUACUCAUUCCUUGGUUUGUUGUUGAGUAUUUUAUGAAAUCUAUGAAGUUUUUGUGACAUUGAGUGGGACACUUUCCCAUAAAAUGUGGUAAUUCUGUAUUGCUGUUUUAUAAACACUGUUGAUUGAUGUAUAUGAUGUUA